rnacentral:misc_RNA from 1 species
GAGCAUGUGAGCCUUAGCCCGAAAAUAACAGAAACUGUGAAGGGAAAAUUAAGCCUUGGAGCGAAAAUUCUUCAAGUAGGAGGGUUAGAGAAAAUAUUCAAGCAGAAGUUUACUGUUAAAGAUGAUGAAAAGCUAUUGAAUGUUUGUCAAUGCUAUUUAUCAACUACCGCUGGUCCAAUAGCAGGCCUUCUCUUCAUCUCUACCGAUAAGAUUGCUUUCUGAAGUGAGAGAUCAAUAAAGUUCUUAUCUCCAACUGGAAAGUUGCUUAGAAUGUACUAUAAGGUAUCGAUCCCAAUAAGUAAGACAAUGAAAGCAAAAGAGAGUGAAAAUAGAGAAAAGCCAUCACAGAAGUAUAUACAAGUAAUUACAGAGGAUGAUUUUGAGUUCUGGUUCAUGGGAUUCCUUAAUCAUCAAAAGACUCUGAAAUAUCUGCACCAUGCAAUUUCAAGUACUUCAAGCAGCUAACAAGACAAAACUUUUUUUUUCAUUUUGUUUCCUAAUACGCCCAUUCAUCAAUGAAUGUACAGAUCUCUUCAAACAUGUAACUAGCUCCAUUCCUUCAU